AUGCGCUUAUCCAUCUCUCCUCCCGUUUCAUUGGCGUUAUGCGGCGGCGCGCGACGGCGGCGCCGGCUCGCACGCCUGGAGCUUGGAGGUCUACAUCGGCCUCCAAGAGAAGGAGCUCGCUCCGCAGCAGCUUCCAUUGGCAGCGCCUCAUCUUCUCACCGGCCAGGUGGCUGGAAUCCGGUGAUCGUUGCCUUCCGCGUCGCCAACAACCAAGUGCCGUCCAUGAGAACAAUGGAACCCAGUUCUUACUGGUGGGCGUAAGAAGUCUGUUCCAAGUUCUCCAACCGCAAGGAACUUUGGAGUCCACCAAUCACUGAUUUGUUUGACUGAGGAGCACCUCCAGAAGUACACGUGGUGUUAUCUGAAGCUUGCUGGAACAUAUACCUCUUUUUUCUUCUGUAGUUUGUUUUUUAGCAUUAAACCUUUUUCAAGAUGUAACUAAAGUAGCUGCAUAGUCUAGUUUGCUUUAGGCAGUGUACAUGUUUCUAUCAAGAUGCAAAUUUCUGUACAUGAUGUACAAAUGUAUCAAGUAUCUUGUUAACCAUGGUGCCACUUGAUAGAUCUCUGAAGAAGCAGUGACUUUUGUUUACAUGUAUAUAACACACAGAGAGAACAGUACUGUGA